AAGGAUGAAGUGUCCAGAGUGUGUUUGAUAAGCUGAUAUGGGACAGGGAUUCUUUUCACUGUUGUGUCAGUUUAUCAAACCCAUACCUGGACGCC
rnacentral:pre_miRNA from 1 species